rnacentral:rRNA from 1 species
AGAGUUUGAUCCUGGCUCAGAACGAACGCUGGCGGCAGGCCUAACACAUGCAAGUCGAACGCUCGUAGCAAUACGAGAGUGGCAGACGGGUGCGGAACACGUGGGAACAUACCCUUUGGUUUGGAAUAACUCAGGGAAACUUGAGCUAAUACCGGAUAAGCCCGUAAGGGGAAAGAUUUAUCGCCGAAGGAUUGGCCCGCGUCCGAUUAGCUAGUUGGUGAGGUAAUGGCUCACCAAGGCGACGAUCGGUAGCUGGUCUGAGAGGAUGAUCAGCCACAUUGGGACUGAGACACGGCCCAAACUCCUACGGGAGGCAGCAGUGGGGAAUAUUGGACAAUGGGCGCAAGCCUGAUCCAGCCAUGCCGCGUGAGUGAUGACGGCCCUAGGGUUGUAAAGCUCUUUCACCCACGACGAUAAUGACGGUAGUGGGAGAAGAAGCCCCGGCUAACUUCGUGCCAGCAGCCGCGGUAAUACGAAGGGGGCUAGCGUUGUUCGGAUUUACUGGGCGUAAAGCGCGCGUAGGCGGAUCUUUAAGUCAGGGGUGAAAUGCCGGAGCUCAACUUCGGAACUGCCUUUGAUACUGGAGAUCUUGAGUUCGGGAGAGGUGAGUGGAACCGCGAGUGUAGAGGUGAAAUUCGUAGAUAUUCGCUCGAACCCCAGUAGGGAGAGCGGCUCACUGGCCCGAUACUGACGCUGAGGCGCGAAAGCGUGGGGAGCAAACAGGAUUAGAUACCCUGGUAGUCCACGCCGUAAACGAUGGAUGCUAGCCGUUAGGCAGCUUGCUGCUUAGUGGCGCAGCUAACGCUUUAAGCAUCCCGC